rnacentral:lncRNA from 10 species
CGCCCAUCUGUUCCGACCCCAGAUUAGAGAAGGAGUUGUCACCGGUGGCAUGCUGGAGGCUUGAGCCUGCAGCAGCAUGGCUCGCCUCACUGUGGCUGGUGGCAGUGAGGUAGAGUACAGCACAGCCAAAGUGGUAGAAAGGUGGCAGAGUAGGUGAGCUAUCCAGGGACUUGUGGCGGGGGGAGAGGGGCAGUGAGCUCAGGGGCCAAGGAUUGGAUGCACUAUCGUGAACUACACUGCCCAAGGCUUUUCUGGCUUUGCCCAUCCAGUUGCUCCGUGCCAGGAGAAGGAGUAGCCACCUGCACAUGCUGGAGGCUGGAGCCAGGGACACCACGGCUUGCCUCGCUGUGGUUGGCGUGGUGGCAGCGAUGGAGACUGCAGAGUGCCAGAGAGGACCUUGGUGCUUGUAGCAUCUACCUACCUCCUGUCGUUGUGAUGAGGACACUUUGAAAACGGGAUGGGAGCUACAUAUGCAAAAGAUGCCAUACAGAUGCUAUAUUAACCUGCAUUAUAGUCCCACAAAUUAAAAUGUAUUCCUUUGAUAAAAAUAAAAACAUUAAAACCCCA